CUACUCUUGACAUCCUGCGAACUUGGUAGAGAUACCUUGGUGCCUUCGGGAACGCAGAGACAGGUGCUGCAUGGCUGUCGUCAGCUCGUGUUGUGAAAUGUUGGGUUAAGUCCCGUAACGAGCGCAACCCUUGUCCUUAGUUGCCAUCAUUUAGUUGGGGACUCUAAGGAGACUGCCGGUGACAAACCGGAGGAAGGCGGGGACGACGUCAAGUCAUCAUGGCCCUUACGAGUAGGGCUACACACGUGCUACAAUGGCAAGUACAGAGGGCCGCAAAGCCGCGAGGUGGAGCUAAUCUCACAAAGCUUGUCGUAGUCCGGAUUGGAGUCUGCAACUCGACUCCAUGAAGUCGGAAUCGCUAGUAAUCGUGAAUCAGAAUGUCACGGUGAAUACGUUCCCGAGGUCUGUA
rnacentral:rRNA from 1 species